rnacentral:rRNA from 1 species
CUGGCUCAGGAUGAACGCUGGCGGCGUGCCUAAUACAUGCAAGUCGAACGAGGGUAGCAAUACCCUAGUGGCGAACGGGUGAGUAACACGUGGGUAAUCUACCUUCGAGUGGUGGAUAACUCUCCGAAAGGAGAGCUAAUACAGCAUAAGACCACAGCCCUUCGGGGUAGCGGUCAAAGCAGGCCUCUCCAUGGAAGCUUGCGCUUGAAGAUGAGCCUGCGGCCCAUCAGUUAGUUGGUAGUGUAAUGGACUACCAAGGCAAAGACGGGUAGCUGGUCUGAGAGGAUGAACAGCCACACUGGAACUGAGACACGGUCCAGACUCCUACGGGAGGCAGCAGUGGGGAAUCUUGCACAAUGGGCGUAAGCCUGAUGCAGCGACGCCGCGUGAGCGAUGAAGGCCCUCGGGUUGUAAAGCUCUGUGGGUAGGGAAGAAUAAGGGCUGGCUAGUAUCCAGUCUGAUGACGGUACCUACUUAGCAAGCACCGGCUAACUCUGUGCCAGCAGCCGCGGUAAGACAGAGGGUGCAAACGUUGUUCGGAAUUACUGGGCGUAAAGCGCGUGUAGGCGGCAAUGCAAGUCGGAUGUGAAAUCCCGCGGCUCAACCGUGGAAGUGCACCC